AUGGACAUACAAUACAUCAUAGAAAAAGAAUGCCGAACAAACAAAAGAGGCCAGAGCCAGCAACGCCCAUCAAACCACCGCCUAUUUCUCAAAGGAAAAACUCUCUGCCCUCAGCCAUCCAAUCAGAAGCAGCAGCGAUCCAUCUACUGCAUCAUCGCCGCCGCGAGAAGGGACACCAGUGCCGAGGAGACCAGGGCCAAAGCGGACACGCUGGCGGCCGCGCCGGCGUCAGGGGCCGGAGCGGGGGCCGAGGAAGGCGCCAUGAAGUCCUGCGCCGAGGCAGAGGCGAAGAAGACGGCCACGGCCAGGAGCAGCACGGCGACGCGUGGAGCCAUCACGACCUUGCGCUGUAGCUUGCGAGUAGAUCGGAGAAUCGGCGAGGAGGGGAGUGAGCAAUAUGGGGGCGCCGAGGUGGGAUGCGAGGGAAUGAGGGAUGGAUGGGGCGCCGUGGGGUUUAUAUAG
rnacentral:rRNA from 1 species